CUUGUACGGCGAGUGAGCGGCAAAAGCUCAAAUUUGAAUCUGGUACCUUUGGUGCCCGAGUUGUAAUUUGGAGAGUACCACUUUGGGACUGUACUUUGCCUAUGUUCCUUGGAACAGGACGUCAUGGAGGGUGAGAAUCCCGUGUGGCGAGGGUGUCAGUUCUUUGUAAAGGGUGCUCGAAGAGUCGAGUUGUUUGGGAAUGCAGCUCUAAGUGGGUGGUAAAUUCCAUCUAAAGCUAAAUACAGGCGAGAGACCGAUAGCGAACAAGUACAGUGAUGGAAAGAUGAAAAGAACUUUGAAAAGAGAGUGAAAAAGUACGUGAAAUUGUUGAAAGGGAAGGGCAUUUGAUCAGACAUGGUGUUUUGCGCCCCUUGCCUCUCGUGGGCUUGGGACUCUCGCAGCUCACUGGGCCAGCAUCGGUUUUGGCGGCCGGAAAAAACCUAGGGAAUGUGGCUCUGCGCCUCGGUGUAGAGUGUUAUAGCCCUG
rnacentral:rRNA from 1 species